UUAAAAAAAAAAAUAAUCAAACAAAAAAAAAAAUAAUCAAACAAAAAUAAACUAAAUUACACUAAAAAUGAUUCUCAAAAUAAGAUACAGGAUCCGCUGAUCCUUGUUUCUGUACAGGCCUGUUCCACAGAUGGAUGAAAGGAGAUGAAGAUACCUCCAGGCACCCACACCCACACCACCACACCACCACACCGCAAGCACACAUUCGCAAUCGAACUCGAACUCGAACUCGUCAACGCUUUUGCACAACUAUACUAUUGCAGGAUGGAACCGGCCGAAAGCACAGUGGAUGGCAUCCUGGACAAGAGCUUCAUUGGGCAGAUAAACCAAGAAGCAAACUAUAUGCAGCCUCUACCUUGGUAUUGAAGGCUCUGCUGUCGAUGCCAUCGGCACAGGAUCCGCUGAUCCUUGUUUCUGUACAGGCCUCUUCCACAGAUGGAUGAAAGGAGAGGAAGAUACCUCCAGGCACCCACACCCACACCACACCACAACUAUACUAUUGCAGAAUGGAACCGGCCGAAGGCACAGGGGAUGGCAUCCUGGACAAGAGCUUCAUUGGGCAGAUAAACCAAGAAGCAAACUAUAAGCAGCCUCUACCUUGGUAUUGAAGGCUCUGCUGUCGAUGCCAUCGGCACAGGAUCCGCUGAUCCUUGUUUCUGUACAGGCCUCUUCCACAGAUGGAUGAAAGGAGAGGAAGAUACCUCCAGGCACCCACACCCACACCACACCACAACUAUACUAUUGCAGGAUGGAACCGGCCGAUAGCACAGUGGAUGGCAUCCUGGACAAGAGCUUCAUUGGGCAGAUAAACCAAGAAGAAAACUAUAAGCAGCCUCUACCAUGGUAUUGAAGGCUCUGCUGUCGAUGGCAUCGGCACUCGACACUGUGGGCUCUGGUCUCGGCUCUGAAUAUCGUGGAUCACAUUAAGAAACAGAACAACAAAUCACGGAUUAUUGCCAGCACAGAACACCAAUCGACACAUUUUAUCGACUUUGUUUAUAGCAAAUGGGGGAUCAUUAAAAAUUUGAUUUAAU
rnacentral:misc_RNA from 1 species